AACGACGCUGGCGGCGCGUUUAAGCAUGCAAGUCGAGCGGCAGCACAAGGAGCAAUCUGAGGUGGCGACCGGCGCACGGGUGAGUAACACGUAUGCAACCUGCCUGUAAGCGGGGAAUAACCCGUUGAAAGACGGACUAAUACCGCAUAAUACUAAAUUACUGCAUGGUAAUUUAUUUAAACAUUUAUGGCUUACAGAUGGGCAUGCGCAUGAUUAGCUAGUUGGAGAGGUAACGGCUCCCCAAGGCAACGAUCAUUAGGGGUUCUGAGAGGAAGGUCCCCCCACACUGGUACUGAGACACGGACCAGACUCCUACGGGAGGCAGCAGUGAGGAAUAUUGGUCAAUGGACGAGAGUCUGAACCAGCCAAGUCGCGUGCAGGAAGAAUGUCCCUAUGGAUUGUAAACUGCUUUUGCAGGGGAAUAAAGUGCAUCACGUGUGAUGUUUUGUAUGUACUCUGCGAAUAAGGAUCGGCUAACUCCGUGCCAGCCGCUGC
rnacentral:rRNA from 1 species